AUCUGGGAGUUGUACAGAAGACUUUUUGAGCUUGCUACUCCUAUCUCUUUAUAUUUGCACGUGUGGACACAGACACCAACCCUCUUUCUUGUUGUAAGUAAUCAUAGCAUAUUGCCUUAGUCCACUUGGGCUCCCAU
rnacentral:lncRNA from 1 species